GGUAUGUCAUGUUGAAGAAGAUGAAGAGGGUUGCGAUGGAUUCUUCUCCUUCGUAUAUGGUUGAUGAGGAUGCUAGAGCCAGGUUCAAGCAUCAAAGUCUCAUGCAGGAUUAUCAAGAAUUGCUUAAGGACACAGAGGCUUCAA